UAUGGUUGUGCCAGCAGCCGCGGUAAUACGUAUGUCGCAAGCGUUAUCCGGAUUUAUUGGGCGUAAAGCGCGUCUAGGCGGUUUGGUAAGUCUGAUGUGAAAAUGCGGGGCUCAACUCCGUAUUGCGUUGGAAACUGCCAAACUAGAGUACUGGAGAGGUGGGCGGAACUACAAGUGUAGAGGUGAAAUUCGUAGAUAUUUGUAGGAAUGCCGAUGGGGAAGCCAGCCCACUGGACAGAUACUGACGCUAAAGCGCGAAAGCGUGGGUAGCAAACAGG
rnacentral:rRNA from 1 species